AUUUCUCCCCGCUACUGCUGUUGGUACUUUCGUUCUGAAGUUGGGUUCCCGGUCAAGCAUCUUGGAGGAUAAGAUUCAUCGUGCCUGGCGUUUUGUGUACUGCACACUGCAUGGAAACAUGUUCUCAGAACGUGCUCGAAAACCCCUUGUAUAUGUCCUUGGUAUAAUUGUACUUUAUAAAGCAGGUACAUUUGUGGCAGCCAAAUAUUAUCACAAACAGAAUAUGUCUGACCGGUUGGCUACCCAAGCUAGUAAAGACUGAGAAGCCAGAGGAAAAUUUAUUAUUGAUUUACAAAAGCCUUCACAACGAGGAGUGUGAUCUGCCUGACAUGUCAUGUUAUGACUGGAAGACUGCCAUGGACUCCUGGAGAUGUGCAUAUCAGGCCAAGAUAAUAUACAUUACCAUUUGUCUGGCUAACCCCGCCAUUUUAAAACCUGGCACUCAUUCAUGUGAGAGCCCAUUUUGUGAAAGGGAUGAGGGAGUACAUUUUAUGAAAGUGUGGACAAUAUUUAGCGGAACACUUUUAUUGCUACAGAAUGAAUCUGUUGAAGUCUGAUUUUUUUGUUUUAGCUGUGUGUUGAUAGUGUAUAUAAAUGAAUUCUGGUAUGACCACGUGCCUGGUUUUCCUUCCGUACAGGUCCAGUUCAAAAAUGUUUUUUAAUAGUGCAUAUCUUUAGCAAAUAAGUGUGAUCCUUGGUUAUCAUGACAAAUAAUGUUUCAAAAUUUUCUCUGUUAAUUUGAAAGCCCUUUAAAGGGAAAGAAAACAAUAACAUGACAUAUAUGUCAGAUGAAAGUCCAUUUCUGUAUUUUUUCACUUUGGGUAACAGUGAAAGCAAUUUAAUAACCUUACUCUUUUGACAGUGACAAUCAUUUGUGUUUGAUGGUUUGGGCUUCAAAGAAAAUUUACUUAUUUUUCAUUGUAGGCAGAGGGAUGCCCUGAAAAUAUGCUGACUAAGUUGAAAUAAAUACAGUACAGGAAAACAAUAAUUUUUUGGAAUUAUUCCAGCCAAGUAAAAUGCAUGUGAAAAGUGAAUUUUAUGAUGACCUUGUUUGACCUUAUUGUGGCCAGUAAAUAAACUGUAUGCCAGUGUAGAGCUAUGGAUGCAUUUGUGGAAAGGACCUUCCACAAAUGUGAAAGAAUUUGAAACUAUGGAUAUUCACUGUGUCCUGUUAGAUUACUGUAGGAUCUGAUAUUCUGUAUGAAUUUUACUCCCAUGAAAAACUUCAAUGAAAAAAAGCAAACUAUUUUCCAGCAGAGUAUUAUUGAUAUUUGAUCUGAUGAAUAAUGGUCCUUCAUUUUAGCAUUAACAAUUUUCUUUGGAUUCUUGGAAUGGAAUCUGAUUGAGUUGUGAUUUAUUGUUGAGUCAUUGAGGCUAAGCUAGCCAGUGGUUUGAAACCAAAACCUAGUUGUUCAGCCAUAUUGUCAGGUAGAACUUAACUCAUGUAUGUGUCUGUAAAUUUCGAACUUUCAAUUUCUCAAUUUGAAAAAAGAAAAUUAAAAUUCAGUCACACAAUCAGGAGAAUUGUGGUGGGACCAGUUGUGAAAUAAAAAUAUGAUAACCGCAAAACCACAUUCAGUAUACCAAACCACCAAUGAAUUAAGAAAAUAUAAAAGUAAGGAAAUAGAAUGGAUUUGUGCAAACAGAAGUAGUCCACAGUUUUCAAUUGAUGACGGAAAGACAUAUGGUUUUGUUUUAUGGACAGAUUAAUAAUCUGUAUAUAAAUCAUGUACCAUGCUAGUUGAUAAGUUGUUUGUUAAUCAGUAUACAUGUAUGUAUUUGCGAUUGGAUUACAACUGUUCAUAUAUCCAUCUUGCUCAAAACGAUGAAUAUAGGCCUAUGGCCUCAAUAA